rnacentral:tRNA from 1 species
UCCCUGCUGGCUCAGAAGGAAGAGAAUCCACCUGCGAUGCGGGAGACCCAGGUUCGAUCCCUGGGUCCGGAG